rnacentral:misc_RNA from 1 species
GAAAUGCGAUAAGUAAUGUGAAUUGCAGAAUUCAGUGAAUCAUCGAAUCUUUGAACGCACCUUGCGCUCAUUGGUAUUCCUUGGAGCAUGCCUGUUUGAGUAUCAUGAAAUCUUCAAAGUAAAUCUUUUGUUAACUCAAUUGGUUUCUACUUUGGUAUUGGAGGUCUUUGCAGCUUCACACCUGCUCCUCUUUGUUCAUUAGCUGGAUCUCAGUGUUAUGCUUGGUUCCACUCGGCGUGAUAAGUUAUCUAUCGCUGAGGACACUGUAAAAGGUGGCCAAGGUAAAUUCAGAUGAACCGCUUCUAAUAGUCCAUUGACUUGGACAAUACUUUUAUGAUCUGAUCUCAAAUCAGGUAGGACUACCCGCUGAACUUAAGC